AUGCCAGGCUGGCUGUCCUUCCAUGGAGAACAUUGGUGCUUACUACUAUGGAAGCCCCCUGUGCUCCUCCUUCUGUCACUCCCCUUCCUCCGAGGCAGUGCAAGUGCGGUCUCGGUCUGUCUUUCUGCCUGCUAAGGCCUCGAUGGCUGACGGCCCUGUUGUGGGUUGGUGUAAGGAUGCUUUGCUCAUUAUCAGCAUCUGUUGUAACGUUGCUCCGUCCUUCCUCCUCCAGGUGACAGAGCUGAAUGAACCACUGUCCAACGAGGAACGGAACCUCCUGUCGGUGGCCUACAAGAACGUGGUUGGGGCUCGCCGCUCCUCCUGGAGGGUCAUCAGCAGCAUCGAGCAGAAGACGUCUGCGGAUGGCAACGAGAAGAAGAUAGAGAUGGUCCGAGCCUACCGGGAAAAGAUUGAGAAGGAGCUGGAGGCCGUGUGCCAGGACGUGCUGAGCCUGCUGGACAACUACCUGAUCAAGAACUGCAGCGAGACCCAGUACGAGAGCAAGGUGUUCUACCUGAAGAUGAAAGGGGACUAUUACCGCUACCUGGCCGAAGUGGCCACUGGGGAGAAAAGGGCGACCGUGGUGGAGUCGUCCGAGAAGGCCUACAGCGAAGCCCACGAGAUCAGCAAGGAGCACAUGCAGCCCACCCACCCCAUCCGGCUGGGCCUGGCGCUCAACUACUCCGUUUUCUACUACGAGAUCCAGAACGCCCCAGAGCAAGCCUGCCACCUGGCCAAGACCGCCUUCGAUGACGCCAUCGCCGAGCUCGACACUCUGAACGAGGACUCCUACAAGGACUCCACUCUGAUCAUGCAGCUGCUCCGAGACAACCUAACGCUCUGGACGAGCGACCAGCAAGACGACGACGGCGGCGAAGGCAACAACUAAGGCCCCAGGUGGACUGGCAGCGCACGCUGAUGCUACUACUGCAGUCUUUAUUUUUUCCCAUGAGUUGGGGGUCGGGUGGGGGAGGGAAAGGGAGGGCUGACCUUCCCAGGGAGAAACCCACGACUGUCCUGUCUUUGAUUGCCUCUUUGACAUUUUUGCCAAAAUACCACUAGUGGAAAGUCAGGCUAGCUAUGCUGGUAUCGGAGUAGCAGCCUCACAGGCGCCGGGACUGUUGUGCAGGUCGUGCAAGUGGAGCUGUCUGCCUUUAGUUUAACUUAUUGCUAGACGGUAGGGUUCUAAGCAGAAAGACCGGAUGGAUGGCCCUCUCGUUCAGUGCGUUCUGUGGUUCCAGUAAGGAUUCUUCUGUCCACACGCCCUCGUCUUCAGUUCCGUGGCUGUUUUCUCUCUGUGGCUCUGCUGUUUUCUUUUUCUCUUUUCUCCUUUCUUUCCCCGGGGUGUAUACCAGAGAAGUUAGAGUCUAAAUUACCCAAGUGGACAGGCUUAGAGUGGAAGGCACAACCUUUAUUGACGAGUCAGACGUGGCCCUGUACUUAGAAGUCUCUGAUGGGUUGACAGUAUUAACACUAAAUUGUAGUUUACAGUAUUUCUACACGACAGCCAUACAUGACACCAAGCCAUUGGUUCUGAGUUUUCCUUUGUCAGUCGGCUUUACGUCUGUGUCCAGGUCGGUCUGGCUGUCCAUCAGCUCUCGUCAUGGGGAGAGUCAGCUUCCCGGAGGUUUUGGUUGAUGGGCGCUUGGCAGGUGGCUGUUGGGGAAUACUUUUUUUUUUUUUCUUCUCGGUUCUUCUUUACUCUCUAAGGCAAGCCCAUCACAAAAAUAGAAACCGUUAAGUACCACACACACACAGAGAAAACAGAGAAAAUUCAGGUCUGUAUGUCAUUAUCAGAGACUCCUGCUCUCAGCAGCCAGGGCUCCAUCCUCAGUGUCACUGCCGCUUGAAUGUUUCUCUGCACUUGAGUCUGCCCGUACCCCGUGCUAGCAGCACGCAGGUAUCUAGGUGUCGGGCUAGAUUGCAGAGGUGGGAGGUUAACGAGACUUGGAACAUCCGGUGCCAGCAGCUGAGCCAACAGGAAACCACUGGGAAGAGGCAGUUCUGGUCCUAAACCAGUUGUCCCUGCCACCCCUCCAACCCCCAGCACUCCUUCCCCAAGUGCUCAGUGGAGGGUACCGAGGUUCAGCAGGAGGCGCUGCUCACCCCUGUCUGACCUAAGCUUUCCUGGUUUUCCUUUCUGAAUGAAAUCGUAGUUGAUGGAGAUUGGCUUCUCACGAGAUCACUGCACACGUGACAUUGAAGGAAGCUGUGCUGCUAUGCCCUACAUGGUCCGUCUCAGCCCUUGGUCCCUCAUUCUCACUGUGGAUAAAUCUUCCCAUAAACGUGCCCUGUUGCAUGCAGAGUGUGCAGUUUGUCUCCUGGAGAACCCAUGCUCUCAUGGCUUCCCAAGAUGGCAGCACCCUAGACUUGCUUUACUUGUCUUCAGAGGCCCAGCAGCCACUUUAUCUUAUACUGAAACCAAGCUCCCACUUAAGUUGAGUACGCUUAACAGGAUGCUGGUGACGUGGCUGUAGAAGAAUGACGCCCCUCUGCACAGUCCUAGCAUGCCCUCCCUCAGAGGCCCCUCCUCAUGCUGGUGUGCAAACACCCACUAACCGAGGCCCACGGAAGACCGCAGCGGAGGAAGCUUGGCCACCAGAGCCAUGGACAGAGGGGUUGGGCUUCACCCGGUUGGUUUGUCUCCAUGUCGGCAGUGAGCAUGUCUGUCCCGCUUGUACUGUUUGGAAAUGACCUACUGGAAUUGCAAAACCUAGUUUCUCUUUAAAUUUCAGCCUUGACCUUUGCUGUGUUCUAGAAAAGUCAUGUGAGGGUAGAACUGAAGAGGGAGAGCGGGAGACCUGACGUGAGCGUGGAUGGUUCCUUCUCCUUCCCUUACUGUUGAGAAGCGCACCUGCCUCUGAUGCUGUCUCCGUUGCCGCGGUUGCCCCACCUAUUGAUACAGUAUUGUGCAUGCUGGUGUUGUAUUUCUAUACGGUAGCUGACAUUUAUUACCUUACACUGUAGGCGUUAUGUAUUCCUAUGACAACAAAACUUAAGACUUCAAAAUCUUUUUAAACUUUUUUUUUUUAAUUUAAUUUUUUCCUUUCAGGGGUAAAGUUUGCUUUACCAAAAAUAGUGGUUGUAACAAAUUGAUCUGUUUUGGAUGUUGCUAUAGUGACAUGCAGUUCUCUAUUUUGUUUUCGGGGGGAGGGGACAAAAGAAACACCAGUGUUAGCUUACUCUUAAUGUCUGGUGUUUGUCAUGGUGAAAUUAUAACUAUUACAGUGUUGGAGAACGCCGCGGACGUUCUCUGAACGCACCUCUGUGCUUUCUUGUCAUGUUAUGCAGUGAAACUAUUUUUAAGGUCUAAUCAAGUGAUUUUUUCCCCCCCAACUCCGUGUUUCGCUAAGGAAUUAUUUCGCACACGGACCAUUCUUAGCAGUUUCCUCAGUGAUGGAAUAUUCAUGAAUGUGAGUCAUUAUGUAGCCGUCGUACAUUGAGCAAAAUAAACUUACAGAUCUGA
rnacentral:lncRNA from 1 species